CUCAUCUCUCUGGAAACGCUGAGAAACAGACGGAUUAUCAUGGAUGAAGAAGCAUGGGUGCAAAGUGUUGACCUUUCAGGCUGGCAAGUCCCCAAAUAUGCAGGACGAAUUAAUCCUGAAACUAAACCACAGACCACCACGCAGUCCGCCAUUCUUCUACCAGGCAGUGUAAAACUAAACCACAGACCACCACGCAGUCCGCCGUUCUUCUACCAGGCAGCGUUAUUGAUUAUUCAGAGGACGUACAGGAACAUCCCUCGUGUGUGAUUGAAAGUGUUGUGGUGCAAGACACACCUGAGGAGGGGUAGUAGUAGUAGUAGUAGUAGUAGUAGUAGUAGUAGUAGUAGUAGUAGUAGUAGUAGU
rnacentral:lncRNA from 12 species